UAGGCAGAUCGUUAACUAUGAGCU
rnacentral:piRNA from 1 species